CUAGCAUGCAUCUCUUUCUGAGCUUUCUCUGAGCCACCCCCAGGCUGGACAGAGCAGUGAGCACUGGGGAUGGGGUAUCUUCUUUGCAGAUAAGAACCGCUGGGAGGACCCUGGUAAGCAGCUCUACAACGUGGAGGCCACAUCCUAUGCCCUCUUGGCCCUACUGCAGCUAAAAGACUUUGACUUUGUGCCUCCCGUCGUGCGUUGGCUCAAUGAACAGAGAUACUACGGUGGUGGCUAUGGCUCUACCCAGGCCACCUUCAUGGUGUUCCAAGCCUUGGCUCAAUACCAAAAGGACGUCCCUGACCACAAGGAACUGAACCUGGAUGUGUCCCUCCAACUGCCCAGCCGCAGCUCCAAGAUCACCCACCGUAUCCACUGGGAAUCUGCCAGCCUCCUGCGAUCAGAAGAGACCAAGGAAAAUGAGGGUUUCACAGUCACAGCUGAAGGAAAAGGCCAAGGCACCUUGUCGGUGGUGACAAUGUACCAUGCUAAGGCCAAAGAUCAACUCACCUGUAAUAAAUUCGACCUCAAGGUCACCAUAAAACCAGCACCGGAAACAG
rnacentral:sRNA from 1 species